rnacentral:lncRNA from 1 species
UUCAGUGAAAAAUCUCUUCCUUUACUUUAGCUGUAAGAGGCACUACAGACAAAUAGCACAUGGAGUUGUUUGUAUUCUCUGGCUGCCCGGUUGACUUCUUUCUAAACCACACUACAACAUCAGGAACAGGUGACAAAACAACUCAGAGAAAGGCCCCGGUAUUUACAGUUUGAACUACUGUCCUGGGUUCAGCUGUAAGUUAUUUUUCUCCUUCCUAGUAGCUGGUGCAGUGCUGUGGUUUUGACUUUAGUCCGAGAACAACACUGAUAACACACCGAUGUUUUAGUUGCUGCUCAGUAGCGCUUACCCUGAGGGACUUUUCAGUCUCGUGCUCUGCCAGUGAGGAGGGGCAUGGGAAGCCGGGAGGAAGCAGAGACAGGACACCUGACCCAAACUAGCCAAAGGGGUAUUCCAUCCCACAGCACGCCAUGCCCAGGAUAGAAACUGGGGAGAGCUACCCAGAAGACCCAGAUCACUCCUUGGGUCAGGCUAGGUAUUGGUUGGCAGGUGCUGAGCAAUUGUAUUGGGCAUCACUUGUGUUUUCUUUUCCUUUCCCUUUUCAGUUUUAUAUUCUCUCUCCUUGUUAUUUCCCUUAUUAGUAGGAGUAGUUUUGUAUUAUACUUUAGUUAUUGGACUGUUUUUAUCUCAACCCAUGGGGUUUACAUUCCUUCCAUUCUCCUCCCCAUCCUGCCCAGAGCAGGGGGGAUGAAGGGGGUAAGUGAGCGAGCAACUGCGUGGUGCUGAGUUACCGGCUGGGCUUAAACCAUGACAACUAUAAACACCACAGACCAGAUCUAUAACAAGCAAGAGCAUCACAUGGUUGGUUGGUUCAUCUACAGCUUGUGUUAGGUGACUGGUUGGUGUUCAUACUGCAGAGGGAAGAUGAAGUGUAUUAUGUAAAUCUGUGGCUGGAAUAUACAAAGUGUUCUGUGUCACAAACAACCAUGGCCUUAAAGAAAAAUAAAUGGAAGAGAAACAAAUGAAAAAUGUCAAGGAUGCUGCUAUGAAAAAGGUGUGUGUCUGCAGUGUGAGAAGUUACUAACCGUUUCCACUGGUUAGUAACUUCGCUGGUGCUUUGGGACACCUCCUCUAGAAAAACCUGCACCAAGCUGGCAUGUGAAGCAUGAACCAAUGUAAAAUGGAAAGAUUUUCUGUGGGAUGAAAGAUGAACAGAUCUCUUGCAAAAAGCAGCUUUGAUGUUAAAAACCAUGGCAGAGGAAGAUAAAGCCCAGGUAUCACAAAGGCCACAUAAAAGGCUUGUGUAGGGAAAGGAUUUAUGUUUAACAGUUCAAGUAUCAGACUGACAUCCAAAAUGUGGUAUAAAAGUGCAAUCUUACAAGUCCUUGCAACAAAGACACUCAGUGUUAAUAACAUCAACAAAUCUCACCAAUCACACACUUGGCUCUAUUUUGGCUGUGCACUGAGCUUCAACAUUUCAUGGUUGAUAAAUUGCACUUGAAUUUCCACUCUUGUGCAUUACCUAGCUCGCUGCCUCUGGGAAUGGGCUAGAGAUCACAUAACUGUAAGCAAAAAUAUUCCCAAGUUUCUGCACAGUACCACAUUUUCUUAAUAAUAAUCCUUUGAAUCUUAAAGUCUUUUUCAUCCAAAUCCUGUCCCUUCAUUUCAAAACAAUGUGGUUCCAGUCUUACGUGAGGCAGCGAUCUGCAAUGAUGUCAUUACUGCUUAAUUUCAAUUCUUCCCUUCCCUUCUGUAACAAACACACCUCUCCUUGGUUCAGUUUGGUAGAGACAACAGGAGACUGCCUCAGGGUGACAGACUGCCAUUGUUAUCAGCAGCUCCUGUAUUUAUGGCUGUAUUUUCUUCUCUACAGUUCACAAGCCAGAAGAACAAUCUUUCCCACAAUUAAGGACUAUGUGUACAAACACAACCCACAGUAAGCUUUACUACAAGAAAAUAAACACUAGACCCAG